rnacentral:ncRNA from 1 species
CUAUGGCUUAUAUAAGUCAUGGCGGAAGGAG